GUAAGCUGUCUCUUUCCCUCCAGCCAGCUCAAAGAACCAGCCCUUGCUCUUGAGGUGGAAGAUGUCAAAAGUCAGGCAGCUUUGAUGUGUGUGGCUGUGAGAGAAACGGCCUAAUGUUUCACUGCCAGAUGUGAAAUGACUGGACUCUUCUAGUCCAGGAGCACUCCUUGGACCCACCUAUCCUAUUGCUCAUCCUUUCCACCUGCUCCCUUACAGCUCCUUGCUGGGUCUUGAGAGGCAAGCACAGUGCCCUUGCUGCUCCCUUAUAGCUCCAUGCUGUGCACACAAAGGGGCUUCCUUCUCCUGCCCUUCUGGCAAGAGAGGCUUGGGGGUGAGGUGAGGCAUGGGGUAACUGCUGCUGAAACACCCCUCAGACUUUCCAGUUGGCGUCUCGAGAACCAACUCCAAAGCCAAGAGAGUGAGGGAGAACACAGAAACCUCUCGAAAUAACAUCUGUUGAGUUAAUGUUUGAAGAACUUGAAGAAAGUGUUUGGACAUAGUCCAGUUCUGUUUCUAGGGAAAUCUAGGACUUAAUCAAGGAACAAAGUUCAUAGGUGUGGGAGGAAAAAUUAGGAAACAUUUUGUUUUGGUAGCUGGAAAGCUUGCCUCCAGAAGUGAUGGAAAGAAGCUCAAAGAGGAACUCGUAUCUUUCUCCAAUUGGCCCAAAUCUGGCAAAAGUGAAGCAUCAUGCUUCGAGCUCUGCUGCUCGCAGGAAACAACAUGGAAGUUGGUAUUCGCAAGCUGAGAUUGUUUUAUGUGCUCUGAUUAAAAGAACCAAAAGGAAGUGAAGUGUGGAACUGUCUUCUGUGAGCCCUACGUCUCAUCUGGGCUCGUGAUCAGGGUUAUCGCAAGUCCAGAAGGGUUCAGAUGGUCACGCAGCUCCUGCCUGCAGAGGACACGUGGGAGAUGGAAGAACUGGCACUUCGGUGCCCUCAAGAGGUGGUACAAACUGAAACAUAAUCUGGUGCAUAAAAGAGUUUAGAAUGACUCAUAAGUGACCAGUUUAUAGACUUUUCAAAGGGACCCGGGAAUAUUUGUAUGGAAGCCUCUACUAUGUACAAAGGGGACAGAAGGAUGAGGCAGAUAAGGUCCUUGUUCUGAAAGAGCCUACAAUCCGGGAAGGAGAUGAGAUGUGCGUCCACGUGGCUAGCAGAUGAGAGAGGAGACGAGCCUGCCUGCUCCCCUGCUUCGAGGCUUUUCUCAGCACAAAGGAGCACGAAUCAGCCUUCAGCGUCUUGAAGAGCAAUGAAUAUGUUUGCUGAAAGAUUCUGGAGGGAGCUGGCAAGGGGUGAGGGACCAGGCAUCACAUGGACCAAUACAGUGAAGACUUCUCGAAAAAAAAUCCUCUACCCAUCUGCCUCGCAGGUUCCAGGUCUCCCGGUGAUGGCUGAAAAUCCUUCCUCUCUUGGAGUCAGGCCUCCUGCUGCUUGGCCGGCUCCUUCCUCCCUCCCUCCCCUUUGUCAACAUCACACCACAUUCCCGCUGCCCCCCACGCCAGCCCCACAGAUGCUGUCUUUGCUUCUCUGUGCUGCUUUCUUCAGCUGGCUCUUUUCAGUAGCCCUCUUGGCCCAUCUUGGUCUCCGCAGGUUCUUUCCACCAUCAGCCAGUGAGGCCUCAGUGGGGAGGGGCAAACACAGGGGCCUCCUUGGGGAUGAACUAUACCUGAGCCCAGCGCUCCGAGAGAACAGUGAAGGUUAAUCCCGUGAUGUCUGUGACUGAAAUCUCCCAUCCUUUUAUGCUCUGGGAAAUGGCUUACCACAGAGAACCAUCCUUCCCCACGUGCCUUAAAUAAGACCCACUGUUACGGGCUGAUGUGUCCCCCCAAAUUCAUAUGUUGAAGUGCUAACUCCCAGCCCCUCAGAAUGUGACUGCAUUUGGAGAUGGGGUUUGAAAGAGGUGAUUGAUUUAAAAUGAGGUCAAAAGAGGGGGGCCUUAAUCCAAUAUGACUGGUGUUCCUGUAAGAAGAGGAGAUCAGGACACAGACACACACCAUGUGAGGGAAGAUCACGUGAGGCCCCAGGGAGGAGACGGCCAUCUGCAAGACAAGGAGAGAGGCUGCGGGAGGAAACAGCCCAGCUGACACCUGCAUCUCAUGCUUUCACCUCCAGAGCUGAGAGACAAUAAAUGUCUGUUGUUUAAGCUGCCUAGUCUGUGGUAUUUGUUACAGCAGCCCGAGCUGACUGAUACACUCCCUGUCCACUCAUUCUCGUGACCCCCAUAAGAAUCAUGGAUGGCUCCCUGUUUACCUGUCACAAGGCCAGACACAGACCUCCAAAUUCCCGUCUUUGUUUCAUAAAUGAUUAACUGAGCUGUUGUCCCCCAAAACUAGACAUAGGGAUAGACAUUUCUUGUUCAGCCAACUGACAGACUCCCGUGGUUACAAAAACGUCCCAACUGUGAAGUCACCCGCCUGGGACUUGUCUACUGCUCCCUGUAAGUGUCUAGACAAAACCACUGUGGAGACCCUCUUAUCUUUGGAUCUGGAGUGCUCUCCCUACCACUAUAGUCUGGAUAAAUCAAUGUCCUUGCCUGUUUGUUUGCCUUUGACAAGUUGGAGCUGUGUUCAGAGGGAGCUGGAAGCAUCUGGACUCCGUCUUCCAGUGCUGAGGGCUGAGACCUCUCCAGCCUGUUGUGCUCCUUCUUUGACUGUGCUCCAGGGAUCCCACGGUAUCAGAAAGAAGUUAGCUCACCUGAGGCUUCCUAUAGAGGCUGCCGUGCUGCGGUACCCAGAGCGUGCUUCUGGAUGGCGAUUAAGCAACGGGAACAAGUUCUGGAGGUAAAGAAGCUGCAGGCUUUCUCAGAUGAUUUAAUACGUUAAUGUGCAUUGUGAAUCUCCCUGAAAUAUAUCGUGUUUCCUGCAUUCUGAACUGCUGUCAUUUUAAAAGUUUCACUGGGUUAAGAACAGCUUUAUCGGAAGUGUCUUAGUCUGCUCGGGCUGCCAUCACAAAGUACCAUAGACUGGGCAGCUUAAACAAUAGAAAUUGACUUUCUCACAGUCACGGAGGCGGGAGUCCAAGAUCCAGGUGCCGGCGGCUCGGUUCUUCCCGAGGCAUCUCUCCUUAGCUUGAACCUGGCUGCCUUCUCUCCAUGUCCUCGCACGGUCUUCCCUUUUGUGCACACACAUCUCUUUGUGUGUCCAAAUUUCUUCUUAUAAGGACACAAGUCAGAUUGUAUUAGGACCCACCUAAGGACCUCAUUUUAAUUUCAUCACCUCUUUAAGGGCACUUUCUCCAAAUAUAGUCACAUUCUGCCGUACUGGGCCUUCAACAUAGGAAUUUUGGGGGACACAAUUGAGCCCAUAACAGGAAGUAAUGAAACACUGCACAUUCAUUAUAAGAUGAAUUCUGAAUUAAAAAAUGUUGAAGAACUGGAAAAAAUGAGUGUUCGAAUCAAAAAAAUGUGGUAGUGUACAGUAUUUGUCAAAUUUAUUUGACUCUGGCACACUUUUUUCAUAAAUCGUCUCAUUGAAUUGGUAUUCUACAGAUCACACAAUAUAAAAUGUUGAAAUGGCUAGUAAAGAGACAGUAGGAAAUAGCUCCUUCAUUUUUGUACAAUGUAGAUAAAAAUGUCUACUAAAAGAAGAUUUUGUUUGGGAUUUCCUGAGUGUCUAAUAUGUUCCUAGAAAAUUUACCACAAUCAUCCGAAGUUUGAACGCUCAUCCUCCAAGCACAAGUUGAAGGGGCUCCUUCUCCGUUGCUGUCAACUGCAGAAUGUCCUCUCCAAUGGGGGUGAGCCCUUCCUUUCAUCAUGUUCCUUACUCUGCAGGUCUGCUUGGUGCUAAAUCCACACUCCAUCCGUCAGGAUUCUGUGGGUUGCACACGUGCCUCAUCCAUCUCAGCUGGGGAUGCCUCCAGCUUCCCAUCGCAGUUCUCUAAACCCUGGUGAGGGACAGCUGCCGGACCUCCCCCAACACUUAAAUAUGCUCAUCCUGGAAACAGGGGCCAGUCAGGGAGGGGGCAGGAGCCAAUGGAUAAAUGCUCCUCCCUCUCAUCCCUCAGGCAGAUGAUUCUGAGAUGUACUCUACAGGUUGCUCCCAAAAGCCGUAGGAAAGUCUUUCUCCAGGCACCCGCCUUGGUGGCCAACUUGAUAACAUAUCCUUGUAUUGACUUUUCCUGUUUUCCUCGCUCCUGCUCCCCAGACUCUCCUUACAAAUAAACUACCGCAUGGAACACUCUGCUUUCAGGGAAACCCAGGCUAAGGCAGGUGGACUCUUAUAACUAGCCAGACCUGUGUCCUGAGUCUUUGCCUGGGAUCCCCAGGUAGGAGUGGGAUGGGAUGGGGGUGCUCUGGUUAGGGCAAGGAAGGUGCAGAUGCCCAAUGGAAAGGAGUGCUGCUUCCAGGAGCAGAGAGGAAAUAAGCUGCACAGACCAAAAACAGGAGAGAGGGAGAACGAGAGAGAGAAUUAUCCCCUGUCUAUAUGAUGUCCUUGAGUAAUGGUAGAAACUAGACUCCGGGGAAUAUGGUUUACUAAUGGUCAGGCUGGAAGUUCACCCACAAUUAUGCCAUAGUGGUAUUUAGCAUUCCCUCUAUGUCGCACCUAUUAGAGGCUACAAAACAGCCACAUUUCCCAAAUUCUUAGUCCUCGGAAGACACUUGUAGAGGAGGAGGUAAGAAUAUUAUUCUCACUAUAAGGAUGGGGAACCAAGGCGAAGUGAAUAAUUAGUCUCCCAAAGGCAUGAAAGAACGCCAUCGCUGAGUUUGGGAUUGCGUGUUGGGCUUCCCGCCCGCUGCAGUUGAGCCCCACCUUUGACUGGAACCAACCUCAGGGAAGAAGGUUUGCUGAGUUUCCUGGAAGGCAGAGGUUUGCAUUUGCAUGCCCUGUGCUGGGGCUUCUAUGUGGGCGCAGCCAGGAGCCUGUCGCAGUUGGUGUGCCUGAGGAAAGGGAGGGGAGAAACCAUUCAGAGCCAGCCGAGCCGGGAUGGUGCUGUGUCAUCACUAAUUGUCUACUGUGGCUGGACUUGCCACUGCCAGAGAGGAGGCUCUCUGCUCCAUCCACGGGUGCCAAGGGACGGGACAGAACCACUUCUCCACAGAUUGGCCAUGCUAACGCACGCUUCCUUAAAAGAUCACCUUUCGUAGUAGAAUGCAACAAAAAAUACCCCAAUGUUAUUUUUUGUGUUGGUGAAAAAAACGUGAUUUUCAGGAGACAUCGUCUCCACUCAGGAAUCUCAGUGAAAUACAGACAAAACCAUGUUUCAACUUUGGUUUUUCUUAUGGUGGUUCCAAUUUAUUUUCAGCCUUUGGAGUGAUGCGUGGGGCUGUACAUCGACAGAAGGAUAAAUGGGAGGGGGGGACCAAAAUGCGUUUGGCACUUAUUAACGGCGUUUCCCUAGGUUACUUUAUUUACUCCUUAUGACAGCCCUAUAUGACAUGAACUAUAAUUAUCCUUUUUGCAGAUGAGGUGUGGAGCUUAGAGAGCGUGGAUAACAUGAGCAUCGCUGGGCAGGUGAAAUGAGAAAGCACUGUGCCUGACCCCGCCCCUCUGCCGCCUCCCCCGGCUUCCUAACCACACACAGUGUAGGUCUCACGUUGCUGACUCACACGGCCCACUAGCUGGAGACAUUCUGGAGGGUUGACUGCCACAAGCCCAAAUCAUGGGUUUGUCAUGUUAUUUUCAAAUGUGGUCUUUCCUACUUUCUAUUAUGGAUGUCAGAUUUUCCUCCUUCCCUAAAAGUUAUCUUUACACACACACACACACCCCUGCAUCUGGGUGGGGGGAGGUGGACGUGCGAGACAGCAAAAAUACAUGUUAAAUUCGGGUCACCUUAUGUCUUAGGCUGCUAUAACAAAGUACCGUAGCCUAUUGGCUCACAAACAACAGAAAUUUAUUUCUCACAGGUCUGGAGGCUGAAAGUCUGAGAUCAGGGUGCCAGCAGGGUCAGGCAAGGGUCCUCUUCUGGGCUGCAGACUUCUCGUUGUAUUUUCACAUGGCAGAAAGAGGGUGAGAGAGCUCUCUGGGGUCCCUUUUAUAAGAGCACUAAUCCAACCUCAGGACCUACUCACCUCCCAAAGGCCCCACCUCCUAGCACCGUCACCUUGAGGGGGUAGGAUCUCAACAUGUGAAUUUGAGGGGGACACAGACAUUCAGUCCGCUUCAUGCCAUUUCCUCGGUUCUAGGAGGAACACUUUCUCAUGCUUUAACCAUUUUGAAAUCUCCAUGUCUUACACUCGCCGUCAACUAAGCAGCAGUGUGACAUAGUUGUCAUUGCCACUGUAUGAGCAUCAGAGCUUAGAGAAUGGGUGAGGCUUGGGGGAAAAUCCCAAGGACAACUGUGGAGCACUUUGAAAAGAAAUACGGCCUUACCAAACUCUCCUGGGAGCUCCUGAUGGCUCACAGGACAACGGUGUGUGGGAAAACAUGGAUUUCAAAGGUCCCGCAUCGAAGAGCGAUUUCAAAGAGGUAAAUUCUGACUGUGAAAAUGUUUUACACAUACCUUAACCAAUUUAUUUAGUCUAUAUUUCCCUUUUUGUGUAUGCAGAAAAGUGAUAUAUGAUUUAAAAAAUUCCAUGUCCAAAUAGAUCUAAAAGAGCUCUUUUAAUACAUUUAAAAUAAAAAUUAAAAGUGCCAAGAAAGCAUUGUGACACACGUAGUUAGAUGUCAGCGUUUCUCCUUUCUGAGUGCUCCAUUAACUGACAGCGCAUCUUACACCAAUUUAGUUUAGAUUCCGUGAAAUACAGUAGUGUUUAUGUUUUAUGUUUCAAUAGUCAUCAAUCUGUUUCUAAUGUAUUCAUGGAAAAAUAUGUGAGCCAUCUUGCCAUUAAACUGUUUUUGAAAUCGCGUGGAAGCCUGCCCAUGUCUUUGUAAUUUACUUAAGAAACUCUCUUGCUUUCGGGAGGACGAGUUUCAAUAUCGUAAGGCUCUCUCUCUGGGUAUAUUUUUGGUUAAGUUUUUGUUAAUCCUGGCAUUUGUCUAAAGCAAUGAAAGGCAAGUGAAAUUAAAAUGCUCACAUUAUAAAAUGUGCAAUCCGGAGAACAAAAACUCAGUUGUGCAAAGUUGGUGUGGCUUUGAUAAAAACAGUUCUGGUCAAAAGCCUGGCCUGUUGGCUCCAGCAGUGACUGACUUACGAUGAGGGACACAUAUGUGCGUCCUUGAGUUUUCUUGGUGGGGCCCAUGGAUUUAUUUAAUAUAUUUAAAUAGAAAAUUUUACCCUUAUCAUUGCUGCUGCAGGUGUAUUUAUUUAUACUAUCUUUGCUUUUAGAAAAACACUGCUAUAUCAUAAAAAUAUUUCAACCUUAAAUUACUUCCCACAAGCCUCAAGUUUCAGGCAGUUCAUAUCUGGGCAUAAAGAGAAAUCAAUGUAUUCUGGCUUGAAGGGCAAUGGAGUUUGGUAUUUGUCACACUUUGAGAGAUAACAAAUGCCUCGCAUAAAAUAGACCCAUUCUUUCCACUUUGCACCGUUGUUUCAGUCCGGCACUGCCACGCCGUCAUUAUGUCUGCGCUGACAGCGGUGUCCAGGCUUGCAGGAAACUGCGUUUCCGAGAAAGCUGAAUGCAGACGUCCCCCGAUUGGCGUGCACCUGCGCUAACCAGAGCUCCCACCUGAAACGAGCUCCCUGAUCUGGGGUUUGGUGCCCUGUUGGCUUUUCGAACAAACGGCUGCUCUCCCUCCCCCGCUCCCCUCACUGAAGCCCAGAUGCUCAGUGUCCCCUCCCUGCCCACUGUGGCGGGAGCCCAGGUCCCUCCUUCCGUGUUCACUCUCCUCCCUACCGUCCGAGAGCCGCUAGGGCUCCAGGUCUGGGGUCAGAGAUUGCUCCCACUGUCCCAAUACCUUGAUGGGGAGAAAGGUUUCAGCCUCUCUGAUCAGGGGGCUCCCCUGCUUGAAAGCCUUUAAUGGCGCCCGUUGUCCUGAGGGUCAGGUCCAAGCUCCUAAAGCAGCUCCCCAAACCCUCCCUCAUCUCCCGGCGCUUCUGCGCCCCUCUGCGGCGCCUGCCUCAGUCCCCAGCCCUCCGCAGCCGUUCUCCUCCCGCUGGACCUGCGUCCAGUCCCCCGACCUGCCACCCUAUCCCUGGCUCCCGCUGUGUGCGCAAGGCCUAGAGGGGGCUCAACUGGUUUUGGGGAGUCCUGCAAACGCACUGCCCCAAGCCUUGCGGUUUUGAUGGGAAAACACAUUCCAAACCAGCGUUCAAACCCGCGUGUGGGGCACAGACGCGGCCUGCACGCUUUGUUAAAGGAAUCCGGUUACAUUAGAAGAGGCUGGGCCCCGCCGCCAACCCCCUGCUCCUGUAAGAACCCCUGUGUAGGGAUUCUUACCAGAAGCUUCCAGCCGCCCACAGAAGCCAGGCCGACAUUCCGUGCCCGCCGUCUGGCACGUGAAGGCGUUGGGAACAGAAGCGGGAACGCGCCCCCUCGCGCCGCGCGGCUCCACAGCGCGCGUCCUCGGGGCCUCCGACAGGCCACCUGGGCUGCUGCGAGCUCAUUCUCGGGCGUUAACAGGUGUGGAGCUGGUAUUUAUCCGCAGCGGCGUUUCCCUGUGCGGCCGCUGCGAGCUCCCAUCUUCUUCCUAACCGCCGCAGGGCACCUUCGCUUCCCCGUGGUUCAAACAGCGCAGGAACUCUGGCUGGCUCAAGGUUUCUGAUGCCACAUCGGCAAACAUUUCUGUUACCCUUAACGAAACCAGCAGGUGACUUUUCUCUGGCCACAGUGAAAGCAGAGGCCUGCUCAGGUAAGUCCGGGACAGCGAGCCAGAGUCAGGGCCAUCCCAGGGGCGCAGAAUCUCAGGGGAGAGGACCACAGGGUGGGCCCUCUGGAAGCAUUUUCAUGCAGCUGAAGAAGGAAAGCCUACAGGGCCUCUUGGCUGAAGUGAAGAAGUGACUCUAAGCAGACAGAGAGGAGGAGGGACUCGGCGCCUGUGUGUGUGUGUGUGUGUGUGUGUGUGUGUGUGUGUGUGCAGGGUCUCUGUGGAUUGGUGACUAUGAUGAGCCUCAGGACUCACUCAGCAUCUGCUGAUGAGUUUGCCUUAUUUCCUGACCGUUUCCCAGGUCAAGUCUCUUCCUAUGACACCUACUGUUUCUCCAGCGCUCCCUCUAGCUCCAGGGCCGUCCUAGGACGUUCAUACAUGAUCUCAUUUAACCCCCAGACAGGCCUGCGGCCAGCACUAUUACCCCUCCUUAACACAGCAGGAGACGGAGCUUGGGGAGUUGACGCUACUUUUCCAAAUCCUGAAGCCAAGUCCCCAGGAUGCCACCGCCCACAAGCUGUUCUGCCACCGUUGGUCUCCCUGGGGACCAUAUGGAGAUGGGGGCCACGUCCCCUCCAAAGAUGCAGUGGAGGAAAGAGACUAAGAGCACAUUCCCAGACUUCUCAGCAUCCUUCAAAAUGUGUUUUCAGAAAUCCAGGAAAAAUGGCUGCUUGCUGAGAUUUGGGGAUAGAAAGCCUAUUUGACUGGUGAGACCUUCCUACUCUCUCCUUUUCAUUGCCCUUCUACAUUCAGUUAGCCACCUUACUCUCCUGCUUAACCCCUUUGAAUGGUGCCCAUUGCCCUCAGGGUCAGGUCUCACUCCUUAGGAUUCCCAGAUCUUCCAGAACCCUUCACUGUCAGAGCAAGCCCACUACAUUCUGUAGUUUAAAGGGUGGCAAUAAUGCCGUUUCAAUUAAACCCCUCUCAGGAAUGACUGUCAGACCUGGGUUUGUGUGAGAAAGACAUUGGGUGUUGCUGGUGGAAAGGACUUGGUUUGAGUGACUCAGGACUUGCGAACAGCUCUUACCUCAACGGAACAGUUCUUCAGCUUCUUGUCAUUUCCUGCAGAAUCCUUCAGUGUACUCAGCCUUCCCGGAGCUGGGAUGAGUCUGGCUGCUUGGCUGGGUCCUCCUCCUUUACAGCCAUCCCAGCACCCAGAGGGCGGGUCUGGUAAGGUGCGGCCUUCAGUGUGGGGGCGUGUGCCCACUCCGCUUCCUCAAAUGAGCAGCUGCCUUUCGCUGCUGGGAAAAUACUUAAGUUUUGGCUGUAGCUGAGAGAGUUUGACAAGCCUUGCAAGGCACAAACAUUCUUUAUCUGCAGGAUGAGGUUAGUUUCUGUUUGGGCCUGGUGUUUUUGUAAGAAGGAAAUCGCUUUCAUAAGCAUCAGAUUAGCUCCAGGAAGCAUCGCAGGACAAUGAAAAGCUGGUAGAGGCAGAACGUCAGGAUUUUCUCAUUGGUCACUACUGCCACCUCCUGGCCAAACUUGUGAACUACACAGUAUGGGCUUCCUAGGGAAACUGUACGUUACUCAUGCCACUCUCCCUCUUUCUGCCAGUUCUCUGUGGUGCAAAACGGAAAUGAGAAGAAUUAUUUUUUAGAUGGAGUGUUUAUUGAUAUAUAUAAUAUUAGCAACGACGAUAAAGCCGACACAAGAAUGAUGAAUAAACACACGGUGGAUUGUUCUCAAUAGGGAAAAGACUUUAUCAAAGCAAUUUAUUCCACCUUCUGACUCAGUGUUAGCUUUGUCUAAAGUAAGUCUUCAGCCCUUUUCUGAGUUGCUAAGACCUCCUGCCUGCUCUCCAAAGCUGACUUCUUAGCAAAUUUAGGUUAAUCUACCAACCAUUUUGGACAAUCAGUAAAAAAUUAAGGACUUAAGUGAAAAUUGUAGCAUAAAAAAUUAUUGAGUCUAAAGCACGUCUUUAUGCAAUAAAAAAUAUAAGAUUUGGUAUCAGUUGUUAUCCUUAUUUCAUAUUGGUUUUAUUCUUAGGAUCUUACUUUCUAGAAAUUUAAAUUUUGAGUUAGUUGAAGGAUUAUUGUAGUACACACAGUACACGUAUAUUGACAGAGGUAGAAAUAAGUUUUUCCAGUUAUUUAAAUUUUAUUUUUUGGGGGGAGGUUGUGUUUUACCUUUAAUAUCAAAUGUGCUGAGAUCCACAGGGGUUUGAUUUCAGAACCGUGUUAAGGAUAUUGGCAGAGAUUUCUCAGAAUCUUUUCUCCCCUUCUUCCUCAACAACAGAGUCUUAGCCAGUCCGGGGCCACUGUGUUAAUCUGGGUGUUCUGAAAAGCAGAUGCUAAGAAGAGACUAAACAUGUAAGGAAUUGUUUAGGGGGAAUGUCUAUUAGAGAAGAUGGGGAGUGAAACCAGACCACAAUGCAGGUCUGACCCCAAGUGCAGGAGACGGGGAGGGCAGGCAGGCUGGGUGCAGCCUCUUAGGCGCCAGUGCAGUUCUCAGGAAAGUUCUGCAAAGCUGCUGGGAUCCUUGGGAUAGGCGGAUUUCAGAGAUGAUACCCGAUGACCUCUGCCUCCUGAUACCCAUGCCCUUACGUAACCCUUUUCCUUUGAGGGUGGACUACACCUGGUGACUAGCUUCUAAGGACUAGAAUAUGACAACGUGAGGCAUGUCUCUUUCCAUGAUGCUUAGGAAAGACUGUGACUUCCAUCUUACUGGACUCUCUCUCUUGCUAAUUCUGAUGAAGCAAACUGCCAUGUUGGAAAAUUUCAUGUAACAGGGAACUGAGAGCAUCCUCCAGCCAACAGCCAGGAAAGAACUGAGGCCCUCGGUCCAUCCGUGAGAUGCUCAAUCCUGACAACCAUCGCGAGCUGAGCUUGGAAGCAGAUGCUUUCCCUGUUAGGCCUCAGAUGGGACCACAGCCCUGGCUGGCCAGUGAGAGCUCUUGAUGCAGAGGACCCAGGCAAACUGUCCCUGAUCCCUGACCUACAGAGACGGUGAGAUAAUAGAUGUGUGUUGUUUUAAAGCUACUAAGUUUUGCUGUAAUGUGUCAUGUAGCAAUAGAUGAUUAACACAGUUCUCAAGCUGAUGCUGCCCGUCGGAGAAGUCUUACGGCUUCCGGAAAGGAGCCUGCCUUAGUCUUCCUGAUGCUCAGCCACUGGCUGGGAGCAGCCUGUGGGAAGCAUGGCCUCACUGCAAAUGUGGUGAUGGAUUUCAGGGUGUAGCAGCUGGGGCCCUUGCACAGGUACACUCCCCGCAGUCAGAGAUCGGAGAGGCACAUUCUCAUUGCUGCUGCAGACACUCAGAGCAAAGAUUCCAUUUCUUACCCUCCCCUGAGGCUUGGAUGGCCUUGCGAUUGAGUUCUAGCCAAUACAGUCUAUGCAUAAGCUGUAUACACAACUUUCAGGAAGGGUCCUUAAAAGAAGCUGUUAUUCCUUCCCUGCCCUUUCUCUUAUCUUGCUGGCUGGAGUGUGAUGAAACAACUGGACCUGGACAGCCAUUUUGGACCAUGAGACAGAAGCCAUCAGUGGAGGAGGAUGAAGCCACAAAAUAAAACAAACCUAAGCCCCCCUGAUUAUGACUGCUUAGGUUUAUGGGAGUGAGAAAUAAACUUCUAACUUGUGUAAGUCACUGCUUGAUUUUCUGGCUCUUGAAACAGAAAAGAAGUCUAUGUUUUAUAUGUGAAGUCUGAAGGUUAAAGGAGUAAAUAUUUCCCAGAGGAUAAGUUGUGGCACAAAGACAAGUUUAAUUACCCAGGACUGUUACUGGGAGAUAAUAUUUAUUCCAUAUGGCGAGGGGGAGAGCAGAUCUCAGCUUCCUGUUGCGAAGAGGGUGUCCCUCUCAGUUAGCAAGGACAAGAGAAGGGAACCACCUGUGUUCAUCGUGGAGAAGUCUUUGAAAACAGCACGUGAGAAAGCAGCUAAAAUCCCCGCACUGUGUGAAGGCUAAGAACACUGGCCCCAGAGCUCACAGAGUUUGCUGAAUGAAGGGACCACAAAGAAAACCAGCUUGAUUUUAAUUGUCUGUCAAAUCUGUUGAAAACCAACUUUCUCUAAACUGAUUCUUUUUGAAGCUCUCAAAGCUUGAGGACAUAAUAAAUGUUACUCUUUGCCGGGCCUGUCAUUGAUUCAACCCAGAACCAUUCUUCAGCCAUGGCACAGGAGGAGUUUUCCGGAAGGAUAUGGCUGUUCUGAUGACUUUCAAAAUAUGAAUUUACCCAUCAAAACUUUUUGGCUAUGUUAGCCAAAGCACUUUUAGCUCUCAUGUGUAUUUUCAAUGUAUGGCAUCUGAAGGGUGGCAAAUCCCAUGUUUAUUAAAGGUUCCAUAGGUAAGGAGACGGUGCGAGGACUGGUCAGUAAUGGGCUUGAAGUGCACCAGUCUGGUUCUAGCCCUGGCUCUGCCACUGAAUUGCAUGGGCUUAAUCGGUCAGACUGUUUCCUCUUUUGCAACAUGGGGUUAGUAACAGUCCCUAGCUUAUGGGAUUGCUGUGAGGGUUAAGUCUGAUAACGCAUGAAAAGUCUUAGAGGGUCAGUAGAGUGCUGGGAAUGUUGUAAGUACACUGUAAGUUUUAGCUAUUUCUGUUAACAUUAAUACACAAUCUCCAGUCGUGUGUUGUCUGAUAUGGUACCCACUGGCCACAUGUAGCCAUUACACCCUAGGAAUGAGGUUAGUUCAAAUUCAGAUGCUGCAAGUAUAAAAUACAGACUAGAUUCUGAAGUUUUAGGAUGAAAACAAGAAUGUAGAGUAUCUUCCUAAUAAUGUUUUAAUAUUAAUUACACGUUGAAAUGCUAAUAUUUUGUAUAUAUUGUCUUAAAUGAAAUAUAUUAUUAAAAUUAACUUAACCUGUUUCUUUUUCCUUUUUCAAAAGUGUGUAUUAGGAAAUUUAAAGUUUUGUCUCUGGUUUGUAUGUCAGAUUUCUUUUGGGCAGCGUGGGUCCAGGCAGACAGAUGGGGUGGGGUGGUAAAGGGAACCAGAAAAUCACGGUCCACUUGAUCGGCAUCUGGUGGUCACUGGGAGCUCGGACAAAGGAGGCAGAGGUUUGGGGGAGGAAAUCUACUUCCCAGGGCACUGUCGGAACUCAUACAAUUCAAUUCUACAGAGAUGGACUGAGAUCAAGGAGUGGUCAUCUGAGGGAGCAGCCCUUAGUCACGUGAGUCUAAAGAUAGGCUGAAAAUCUGGGGGUCCAGACAGUGGAGGUCAGGAGACAUGCAAACCAGGAUCUGGGAUAGAGUUAAAGAUCCAGGUGGAGCAUAUUGUUGACAGAGAAGAAAAUGGCAGGUGGUUAUCAGGGGCCUUGACCAAGGGGGCAGUAGGUUAGGGGCACUGUUGAUACUGACACCGUUCAAGUCCUCAGAUAUUAAUUAGAACCUCUGACGUGCCCGACCCACUGUUAGACACUAGUGACAACACAGUGCCUGCCUGCCAGGUGCUCACAGUCCAGUGGGGAGCACAGGUAGUUAAGCAGAUCAUUGUAGCUCUGAGAGAUCAGGUGCUGUAACAGAACGUGAUGGGAGCUCCUUGUUGGGAAAGUGGAUCCAUCCUGUGGAUAAGGAACAGUUUCCUAGAGAAGGUAACAUCUCAACUAAGACCAUGAGGAAGCAGCAGGAAAAAAGGGAGCAGCAUGUGCAAAGGCCAGGAGGUCAGGAAGCCACUGUGCACUACUAGGAGCUGCCAGCCAUGCAGUGUGGCUUUGGAGCAGAUAUUCAAAGAGAACAUGGGGUGAUUGGAAGUUUGUUGGAGGUGGGAAUGGCUGGAAGCUGGAGAGAUUACAGGGGAUGGCAUCACAGAUGAAGGGGUUCGAGGGCACAAGACAGGGGGCUUUAGAGAACUUCAAGCAAAGGAGUGACGUGACCAGAUCUGUGCUUUAGAAAGAUCUCUCUGAUUGCAUUGUGGGGGUUCUGGUUCUGGGCAACAUGAACUAAACCUGUUCCACCCUGUCUCUCCCACUGCAAUCAGCUAGAAAGCCUGGAUGGAGUACAUGGAGCAGUUAUUCGAGGAAUCUGAUAGUAGCAAGCGGGCUGGGGAAGAAGAUCAGCAUUUGAAGUGCCCCUAAACAGGUGCUGAGCCCCCAUUUUUCCCUCUCUGGCAUUUCCUGGACUCAGAGCAGCCUGAAACCUGGAAGGCGGCAUCAGCACAGAGAAAGAUUCAGGACAACCUCUUUCGUUCAGGUUCAAGGAGUGAGAAGGGGCUCUCCUAAUGCUGAGGGAGUGGGAAAAUCCUUGUUUUUUCCCCUUUUCCCUGUUCUCUUGCAUCCCAGUACCUAAGCAAUCCUGAGGUGGCUUGAAGGGGAGCCCAGGCCCUAAGGGAGGGCAAACUCCUCUCUGAUUGGAGGAGCUGUGGUCCCAACAGGGUGGGCUAAACCCUUGUUGCUUUUUUUCUUUUUUUUUUUUAACUCUUUCUUCCAUCGCUUGGUCCCAGACAUGGGCUGACUUGCAGCGAGCAUGCGGCAGUGAGGUAAAUAAAGCCCCACCUUUCUGGCUAGAGACCAAAAAGAGCAGCCCCAGGGGACCAUAAAAUAUUGGAGAGACCAUGGAGGGGCAGGAGCUCAGGAAAGCAACCUCAGAAAGCUGUUCGUGAACCCCUGGGCUCCCCCAGAGCUGCACAGGCACGGAUCUGACUUGAGAGAGAAUGUCAUAGACUUUGAGAGCUGACCCACGGGAUAAACCAUAGCCCAGCGCCCAGACCGUCCACUGGGGGGCACACACGUGGGUCACAUCUGAACAGCACUGCAGAGGCUUUGAGAACGGUACUAAUAUUUAAACCGCAGCAACAGGGGACUGGUCAGAACCUGCAGCCUGAACCCAGCAGAGUCUGCUAAAUGAAGCGGUUUCCCUGCUGAAACAAGAACAUCAACAUUCCCCACAGGUUUGAAAUAAAUCCUAGAGUCUUGUAAUAUCCAAAUACAUUAUCCAGGAAAAGAAUCCAAAAUUACUUAGCAUAUAAAGAAGCCAGGAAAACCUUAAUUUCAUUGGAAAAGAACCAACCGAUGCCAAAGCCAAGAGGUCACAGAUGUUUGAAGUAUCCAACAAAGACUUUAAAGCAGCACCUGUAAGAAUGUUCCAAGAUACAAGGGCAAACCCUCUUGAAAUGAGUGGAAAGAUAGUCUCAGCAAAAUAAUAGAAGAUGCUAAAUGGAAAAAAGGGCCAAAUGGAAAUUUUAGAAGUGAAAAAUACAAUAGCCAAAAGUUUGAAAACUGAAUAGGCUCCAUGGAGAUGACAGAGUCAGUGAACUUGAAGAUGGAAAAGAGGCUGGAGCUUAUUGCAGCUGAGGGACCUGAAGACAGUGUGACUCAAUCUUGGGUGCCUCUCCAUGAUGUGGGGCUUUGCUCUCAGGCAGUUACAAACCAUCCCUAAGCGUCUACUGGUUCCUAGCUCAGAACGUGGUCUUUUCCCCACAUCUGUGGCCCUCUAUGACCACAGAAUGGAGCCGUGUGGCUGACUGGCACCAUCGGCAGCUGAGCUUCAUGUGGCUGCCUCCAUAUCCCACCUCUUCCCUCUCAGCCUUGGGGCCCCCAUGCACCUGUGUCUCGGAGGAUUUGGGGGGCCCUGGGAGUUCCUGGGUCGACCUGGGAAUUCUGAUAAGACUCUGAGCAGCCACGCUUGCUCUUUCGCUGGAUUUGGAUCUCCAUGUUGGCCCAUGUGCUAGGCCACUGAGAGCCUUAGAGACACUUGUGUUCUGUUCUCAACAAGAAGGGAAGAAUAAAGGCCCUAAUGAAAACUGGGAACGUUUUAGAAAAUCUAACUUUCCAGGCCUACAAACAUAAGACAGGAAAGUGAGUGUAAGCCUGGAUUUGUGGUCUACACCAUAAGAUUUGGAGCUCUGCGGGUCCCUUCACAGGAGCAAACAGCAUGUGAAUCACCUUGCGUGCCCCAAAGCUCUGAGCAGGGCUGGCUGGCGGGGAGAAAAGCUGCAGCAACAGAUGCUUUUGGGGCAACCAGGUUGUCAACGAGCUCCCAAGAAGCCACUGGAAGAGGAGACUUGGGAGGACAGGGGAUGCGACAAGGAAAUAAAGAAAGAAAUCCGGGCGUAGGUUCCAAGGCAGAGGAUGGCACGUUGUGGGCAGCCUGGCCUUCUUGCCGUCUCUCCCUGGUCUAACCGUUUAGAUCAAUGUAAACUUUAGGAAUAGAAGAGCUGAAAAAAACAAGCUAAGAACUGACUGAAAGAGUGUGCACUUCAUCAAAGCUGCUCUGUUUGGUAUUUCUGUUUCAUUUCUCAAUCAAUGAUCAAAAUUUAAAAAUAUCCGCAAAGACGUUUUAUAAAUUGUGAUAAAAUAUACAUAACCUAAAACUUAUCAUCUUCAUCACUUGUUCAGUGGCACUAAGAACAUUUGCAUUGCUGUGCAGCUGUCACCACCAUCCAUCUCCCCAAGAUUUUCAUCUUCCCAAACUGAAACUCUGCACCCAUUAGACACUAACUCUCCAUUCCUCCCCCUCCAGCCCCUGACACCGCUGUUCUGCUUCCUGUCUCUGUGAAUCUGACUGCUCCAGGGACCUCAUAUCAGUGGAAUCAUACAGUAUCUGUCCUUCGGUGACUGGCUUAUUUCACUGAGCAUAGUGUCCCCAAGAUUCAUCCAUGUUGUAGCAUAUGUCAGCAUUUCCCUCCUUUUUAAGGCUGAGUAAUGCUCCACUGUAUGUAUACACCACAUUUUCAUUAUCCAUUCGUCCAUCAAUGGGUUAUUUCCACUUUUCGGCUAUUGUGAAUAAUGCUGCUAUGAACAUGGGGUACAAAUAUCUGUUCAAGUCCCUGCUUUCAAUUCCUUUGGGUCCCAGAAAGGAAAUUGCUGAAUCAUGUGGUAAUUUUAUUUUUAACUUUUGAGGAACUGCCAUGCCAUGCACAAAUGCUUUAACACUGACUCUGCCAGCUCAGACAAACCAUUCUCUCUGUCUAACUAACUGUGAGUGAUUCAGGAUCAUCAGGGACUUGCUGUUACUUGGUAGCGCUGGGUUGGAAUAUUUUAAUUUAACAAGGGAUUCAUUUCAAUUUUUAAAAAUCUAGGAAGAAUCUUGCUGAUGUCAGCCCAUCCUUUGGGGGCAUGGCCGUGUCCCCCAAUCAGGUUUGGUGAGGAAGACAGAAUAAGAGCGCUGGGAGAUGUUCCCAUCUCUAUUCCCAGAACCUGCUACCUUAUAUGGUAAGAGGGGCUUUGCAGGUGUGAUUGAGGACCCUGAGACCUGGAGAGGAGCCUGGAUUAUCCAGGCGGUCCCAGUGUAAUCACAGCAUCCCUCUUGGUGAAUGAGGGAGGCAGGAGAGGCUCUGAGGAAGAUGUGACUGUGGCAGAAAGCCAUAGAGAGAUGCAGUGUUUUGCAGAUGGAGGAAAAGGCCAUGAGCUGAGGAAUGUGGGUGUUUUGAGGUCAAGGAAAUGGAUUCUUCCGUAGAGCCUGCAGAAUGAGCUGCAAUCCUGCCUUCACCUUGAUUUUAGACCAGCGAGAGCCAUUUCCCACUUCUGACCUCCAGAGCUGAAAGAUAAUAAAUUUAUGUUGUGCAAACCACUGGGUUUGUGGGGAUUUGCUACAGCGGUGGCAGGACACUAAUCCAGAUGGGGCCAUAGGGUCAUGUGUUCACGUUUUGUACUUGCCCUGUGUUUUCGCCAACGAAACCGGAAGUGCCCUGGGAGCGAGCCCUCACAGGGCCUCGUGGGAGGGGCAAGGUGAGCACUCCCUGUGUGUCAGCACAAAGGGGAGGAAGGGCAAGCCGGCCGGGCAGGGCGCAGUGCUGCCUCCAAACACGAGGGCCAAGAGGCUGCGCCUUCUGUAGUUCAAGAGCUCGGACGACAGCCCUGGAGGGGCCGCCGCCCUGCCCACUCAUCCACUGGUCUCCAAGCUUUAUAAAAAACGCGGUUCUGCUAAGAAUAGCUCCACUUAAAUUACUCUGACCAGAUACUAGUUUUAAUGGUAGUAAAUGAGUAAUUUAUUUAACCUCUUUGAACUUCAUUUAAAAAAAAUUUUUUUAAAUGGGGAAUAGUAUUACUUCACAGGGCAGUGAUGACUUUCAAAUUAUCUAAUUUAUGAGAAAGUAUCCAGCACAGUGCCCUUAAAAGCAAGCCCAUAAUAAGCACUUAAGGACUGAAAAAAAAACAUUUCAGAUAAAUGCAGGGUCACAGUGCUCAAGGCCCCUGAUUCUUGGUGAAGCGUUAUCUUCUCUGGUGUGCGCUCUUUCUGGGCUAUGUGAGCAAAUUCGCUGGCUUGCCUUGCAUCAGAGCUCCCUGCCUCAUUCCUUUCCUUUAGAGAAAAAGACAGACAGAGGGGAUAAAAAACCUCCUUAGUAUUAAGAAGCUCAAGAAGGCCAAGAUCUUCGUUCUCUGUGUUUCUCUGCUAAGAGAUGUUUUCCUGUCCCAUUAAGAGAGUUUGAAUCUGUUCCCAGGCUCAGUUAAAGGGACUGCUACUCUUACAAGGGACAACAUAUUUUGAGAAAAAUUUAAACAAUGCCUUUGAACAUGCUUUUGUUAUAGUGUCAAUGUCUGCCAAAAUUUCAGGAUCAAAGAAAUCUGAAUAGGUUUAUACAACAGUGAACACUUUCUAAAAAAUAGUAGAUUAUUGGGAAGGGCAUGUCAAGUAUUAAACAUUUAUGGUUCCAUUUUCUUUUCCUUGCCCACUAAGGAAAAUAGACUCAGAAUGAAUUACUUUUAGUUUUUUUUAAUUAAAAAAAUUUUUGGUAAACGAUACAUAACGUAAAAUAUAUUGAUGUAGAGGUCAUUAGAGUGGGCCCAAAUCCACUAUGACCGAUGUCCUUAAAAAAGGGGAAAUUUGGACACAGAGAUAGACAGGCACAGAGGGAAGAGGAGGUGACUACACACAGGGAGAAGUCCAGGUAAAGACGGAGGAUGGGAGUGGUGCAUCUACAAGCCAAGGAACGCCUCGGGCUACCAGAAGCCAGGAGAGAGGCACAGAGGAGUUCUUCUCUAGCACCUUCAGAGGGAGCAGGGACCUGCCAAUACUUUGAUUGCAGACUUCCGGCCUCCAGAACUGUGAGACUAUCCAUUUCUCUUGCUCUAAUCCACUCAGUUUGUGGUACUUUGUUACGGCAGCCGCAGCAAACGAACACACAUACAAUCAACGUUAUUUUUCUUCCUUAGACCAUUCAUUCAACAAAUAUUUUAAGUUAAGUGCUAGAAAUUUGUUCAAAGGUGAAAAAGACCUUGUUUCUGCUCACAGGUUGCUUAUGUCCUAAUAGGGGAGACGGAAAGUGAGCAAACAAUUACAGUGAAACAUGGCUAGUGUCAUGCUAUGGUCAAGGCAAGGGGAGGUGUCAGGGCAGCCCCAGAGAGGGGCCUUUAACCCCGCCUGGGCAUCAGAGAUGGACAGCUUCGUGGAGCGAGUGAUAGUCCAAAGUUGAUGAUGUGGUAGUAUUUUGAAUAAGAACAAGGCUGUCAUGGAACAAGGUUGUUAGUGACUUUUUGUCGUUAUAAUGGAACAAGCUAAGUUCUAAGCUGAUAUGAAAAAUGACAGGGAACAAGCAAGAUUAGAGGGAGGCCGAUGUGUUUGUUUCACUUAGCAGUUUUGCUUCCUGAACAAUUUGAGCUAGGACACCUCUAUACUAAAUUUCGUUGGUUGGUAGUGGCAAGGGGGCACUCGGGUAGGGUGGGGUGAUGAUAAGAUCAAGGACCAUCAAUCACCAGGCAGAGACCAAUGUCUUCUUGAGGCAGAAUGUUCCCUUUACUUAGCUUGCUUUCUUCAACGUGUGCCAGGUGGCAGGAGAAGAUUCCAAAGCUUGGCCUUGGCCACUGGGUAAAGUUGUGUAGGUUAUGGACUGCACAAGGGGAGAUUGGGGACUGAAAUCCAGCAUGUGCCCGCAUACCAAGCUAUGUGUCUGGGCAUGAGUCUAUGCCUGCCCAGAGGACAGGUACCACUUUGCUUGGCACAAUGGUGUCAUCUUCUUGCCAGAUAAUAUGCCACUGAUUCUGGUUUCAUCCAGAGGGGGCACCUUUUUCUAAUUCACACAAAGGCGCCAUCUAUCCUAGUGGUAGUCCUGAGCAUAGCAUUUGGUCUUGUUGUGUGACAAGGCAUUUGUUUCUUUGAAAUAAAGCCUAUUCUACAUGUUGGAAGGCUGCCCAAGGAGUCCUUGUUAUACACUUAGAGACUGGCCCACGGCAACUCUAAUUGUAUUCACAUCUCAUUAGCUAAAUUACUACCUCCCAGUUAACUUGCUAGUCUGAGCCUUCGCCAUACGGCUUCUGGCUCAUGCCCCUGAAGCUGAGACCACACCUGGUUUCUGUGGAACCUGGUGAAGAAGCGGCACAGUAAAGCUCUAAGCAGUUGGCUAAUAAAGUUAGUUAUAAAUACUGUCUGUGCAACUCGGACAAGUUGCUCUACCAAUUUCAUUCUUGUUCAUUCAUAUACAUAAAUGUCUAAUACUUUGUAAUUUACCCUGAGUUGGAGUGUUUUCUCCUCUUGACCCCACCACAAAUGUAGUUUGGGAGGUAGGUAAAUGGAUCUGCUACAAGGCUUAAGGGGUGGCUUCAGUCCAGAGUAGAAACAGACAAUAGGUUCUAAUGCUUAUUGUCAGGAGGAUGGUGAGGAAGGGAGUCUGUUGACAGCAGGCGCAAUACAUCCUGUCUGUCUGUGAGCAGAGGGAAGAACAAUCAUAUGGGGACAGUGUGGAGGUUACACAGGGGCCCAAAUGGACUUCCAGAUGUCAGUGGGGAAACAGAAGGAGUGGGGUGGAAGCACUUGGUAAGGAAAUGAGAUUCCCAAUCUGGUCGCUCUGGGGGAGGGAAAUCCUGCUCACCAGCAAAAUUGGAAUUUCUUAUGUGUCAGUCUGUGGGUUCACAUGAAGACACUCUAAGAACAAUGACUUAAUUAAAUAUCACUGACUUAUCGCCCCACUUGCUUAUUACAGAAUCUCUCCAGACUCUCCUCACAUUCUAUGCUGGUUUUUUCUGGGCAUCUCACGUCAGCGCAAGAGCGGUUCUUUUCAGUCCCCUUCCAUUCUUCAGCACCCUCCCCCCAGGGCUGUCGUCCAAGCUCUUGAGGCGCUGUGACAGUAGAGUGUCGCUGUGGUGUGUGUUUGGGGACAGCGUGGCACCCGUGCUCAGGCCUGAUUCUCCUUCCCCACUCUGCGCUGCAUUCCCCAGGUUUUUGGAGCAAACCAUGCUGGGUUCUACCCUCUUGCCCCUGUCCCACGUUGCCAUGGGAGCCCUGCAAAAUACCACAGGUGCCCUGAGUUUGUCUGAAUCCCCUAUGAAGUCAGCUCCUGUCUCGCUCCUGGCUGCAGCUACUCUCUCCUCGUGGCUCUGUCACUCAUUGGAGGGCUGGGUUGGGCGCCAGGACACCAGGCUGUCCUCUCCACUCCACCUCUACACCCAGGAGCUCACCCUCAAGGCAAGGUGAACAUCAUCACCUCCACCCCACAAAUAUCCAGAAGAGAUGGCACGUGUCCUUUGCUAAGGUGAGGAUUGGUUUCCUGCCAAAGUUGAGCUGAGUUUUAAUUACUAAUGUUUUAGGGCUGCUCUCCAGUCUUGAGAGGCCUCUGGGAACAAGCUCCCUGAGAGCAAGAACAGGUGCCCCCGGCUCUCAGAGAUGACUUUGGUGGCUUGUCCCUGAUUCCAAGAUUCUGGAAGCCUGAAUGUGGCUGUGAAAUCCUGAAGUCAAAACACAUAAAAUAUUGAACGAUAAAAUCCAAUUUAAAAAUUGAACAAAAAACAAACAACUGCUGAUGGACAGCCAUCAGGGUGUGGAUGUGGAGGAAGAAAGCCCAGCACGGACAGGCCAAUAGCUUGGUCCCUUGGGAGGCAACAGUGGGCAAAUCCGACUCAUUGUGAAAUGCUGUGGCCGGGGAGCAAGGUCAGAGUGACAAGCACUUUUCUCUUCUAAAUGACUCUAGAUGUGAUGUUUGCCACCCUGGCUGGUGGAGGAGUCAUUACUAAGAGCUGCAGACACGGAUCAGGUUGGACUUGACACCAGGGACCACUAGGGAGUGUUUCUGUGUUAAGAUGUCUUUCACUUCCUUUCAUUUCAUUACCAAAAAUGAGGUGGGAAAAGGAAAAAUAGAAGGGAGGUGCUGUGCUCUGAAUAUCUGUGUCCCUUCAAAAUUCAUAUGUUGAAACCUACCCCCCAAUGUGAUGGUGUUAGCAGGUGGGGCCUUUUGGGGGAGCUUAGGUCCUGAGGGUGGAGCCCUCUCGAAUGGGGUUAGUGCCUUUAUAAAAGGGACCCCAGAGCGCUCCCUCACUUCCUCCUGCCGUGGGAGGACAUGGCUGUCUGUGAUCCAGGAGGCAGGCCCUCACCAGACACCAAAUCUGCCCACACGUUGGACUUCCAGCCUCCAGAACUGGGAGAAAUAAAUGUCUAUUGUUUAUAAGCUCCUUCUUCUAUGGUAUUUCUGUCAUAGCAGCCGGAGUGGACUAAAACAGGAGAAGACGUGACAAAGACCAUGGUCCUGGCUCUGGUAAAAGUUACGGCUCAUGAGUGUUGUUAUUUAUUUAUUUUUUUUGAGCACUAUGUCAGGCUCUGAAGAGUGACAGUGGAAGGAAAGCUGAAGGACUCCGAGUGCUGGGCAGCUGGCAGCUCCGCCUGUCCAGGCCUCGCGGCACCAAACCUGCCUGUGCUGGCUGCCGGGAGCACCUCCUGCUCUCCACCCUCAGAACGGCUGCGCCUGCCCCUGCCUCCUGCCCCUCUCAGCUCCCAGAGCACAGCGUUUGUUCGGGUUUCCAUGCUGCCUCCUUGCUCUGACGCCCUUCUCAGCCUGGCCUCCUGUCUCUCUCCUUCCUUCAUCCGUCCCACACUCAUGGAACCCUCACCCACUGGGUCAGACCCACGCCUUCCACCACCUAAAGGGAUUCAGACGACAUGAGUCAGAUAUGAAAAGGGUGAGGAUGCACCCGGUAAACCGGUAAAGAGAAUCACCUCUUACAGGGAAGGGUGUGAAGGAACUGUUCAGGAGGGUGACAAGGGGACUCUUUGGCAGGGGGAUGGGCUUAGAGUGGCUGUAGGAGGCCUGGGUCCACAGUCGGCCUCAAUAAACACUUGUUCAUUCAUUGAGUUUCAGAGAUCACAACUAUUAACAGAAAAGCAUGCACUUGGGUGAAAUUCUCUUUUAUUAUACACUUUAUUUAGUCUAAAAUUGAGUUCAUUCCCUAAUGGUAGCAAAAAUACAGUGUGCCCCAGUCCUCAGGAAUGGAACACCAAGUUGACAGCCAGGGAACCUUGCUGGACUGCUCCUGUCAUGGGUACUAGGACCUCCAAGGUCUCAUCCAUCCUUGGAGGUCCAGCUCAUGGUCUCCCUCCACCACAUAGCCAAAUCACGUCCUUCCCCAGGAAACCAUGAAGCACGUUUCAUUCUUCUCUUUUGUUAUUGACCACGGGCUAUCCAGCGCAAGAGAUUUUCAAUAUGUUCCUUCUUCCCUUUUCCAAAAAUAUAAGCUGAUUUUGGACAGG
rnacentral:lncRNA from 1 species